UACAGAGGGUGCGAGCGUUGUCCGGAAUCACUGGGCGUAAAGGGCGCGUAGGUGGUGGCUUAAGCGUGCGGUGAAAGCUCGGGGCUCAACCCCGAGUCGGCCGUGCGAACUGGGCUCACUGGAGCAUAGUAGAGGCAGGUGGAAUUCCGGGUGUAGCGGUGGAAUGCGUAGAGAUCCGGAAGAACACCGGUGGCGAAGGCAGCUCGCUGGGACGUGACUGACGCUGAGACGCGAAAGCGUGGGGAGCAAACAGG
rnacentral:rRNA from 1 species